GACGAACGCUGGCGGCGUGCUUAACACAUGCAAGUCGAACGGAAAGGCCCUUCGGGGUACUCGAGUGGCGAACGGGUGAGUAACACGUGGGUGAUCUGCCCUGCACUUUGGGAUAAGCCUGGGAAACUGGGUCUAAUACCGAAUAGGACCACGCGCUUCAUGGUGUGUGGUGGAAAGCUUUUGCGGUGUGGGAUGGGCCCGCGGCCUAUCAGCUUGUUGGUGGGGUAUUGGCCUACCAAGGCGACGACGGGUAGCCGGCCUGAGAGGGUGACCGGCCACACUGGGACUGAGAUACGGCCCAGACUCCUACGGGAGGCAGCAGUGGGGAAUAUUGCACAAUGGGCGCAAGCCUGAUGCAGCGACGCCGCGUGAGGGAUGACGGCCUUCGGGUUGUAAACCUCUUUCAAUAGGGACGAAGCGCAAGUGACGGUACCUAUAGAAGAAGCACCGGCCAACUACGUG
rnacentral:rRNA from 1 species